rnacentral:lncRNA from 1 species
CCCCAUGGGAGCUUCUUAAGGGAAAGCACUGAGCUUCCUUUGUUCAUUCACUCCCUCAGUCGAUCAGCUGGUCAGUCGGUCAGUCACCAAUAACUUUGUUUUUUUUAACAAAUAUGCCUGAGUACCCACUGUGUACUGGGCAGAUACAGCUGAACAAUCCUCUAGGAACUCACAGGUUUAUAAGAGAAGCAGGAAAAAGUGGAGGAAGUGGAAGGAAGCCAAAGCAUCCCUCCUUUCACUUUCACUGACCACUGAGUGGGUCUCGCUGGGUCUCAGUGAAAAGAAAGCUGUUUCUACUGCUUUAACCCUUUCCAAUGCAUGUCCCUUUAGACAGAGUAACCCCUGUGAGCUGGUAAUCAAACAGAAUUUUAUUCAAGUGAAACAAACAAUGGAGAAAUAUGGAGUACCCCAAAUUUCCUCCCUUUAAUUUGCACAUUUUGAAGUGCAGAUAUUAGUAAGUAGUUUAUUUACAUGAACAUACAGGAACUUUAACCUUUAAGAGUUUGUAAAAUACGGCUUAGUUUAAAUGCAUUUAUUUGUCUAAAAUUCCUGGUAGUUAAUUGUACUUUUUUUUUUGGCAAGUUUUCACUUGAAAUCUCAAAGUACUUUAAAGUAAGAUGGCAUUAAAAACAGCAACAGGAAUAAGCCGACGUGUCUUAAGGGCUUACCAUGUUUAGACACUAAGUGCUGUUAACAUAUAUCACUAUUUACUCCUUGAACUCGUCCUAUUUGUUAUUAUAUACACACCAUAUACUGUAUUAUUAUUAUUGUCUCAGCUUCACCGAUAAGGAACCCUAGCUUGGUGAGUUCUGAAUUGCUGGCAGAUUAGGGAGGAAUGGACAGUGGAACCCAGCCCUGGCUGUGCCCAGACCCCCUCUCCUCUGCAACACUGUCUGCCUCUGAGGCGCGUGGAGUCCUUCUCCAGCUCUUCAAAGCGUUGCAGGUCCAUGUUGUCCCAACAGAAUUUAAAGGUGCAGGCCAGCAUCACCUGCAAAGUCCCAGGUUGGAAGAGAACCUCGUCUACACUUCUACAGGCAGAUAAGGUCAGAAGUACAUUUUCCAGUCAUCAGGAUCCAGCCCCAGCUCCACCCUCACACAGCACCCCCAGGAGAGGUUGUCUACUAUUGGGAGAGACACUGU